rnacentral:rRNA from 1 species
CUUUUGUGGGGUGCCCGAGUGGCGAACGGGUGAGUAACACGUGAGUAACCUGCCCUUGACUUUGGGAUAACUUCAGGAAACUGGGGCUAAUACCGGAUAGGAGCUCCUGCUGCAUGGUGGGGGUUGGAAAGUUUCGGCGGUUGGGGAUGGACUCGCGGCUUAUCAGCUUGUUGGUGGGGUGGUGGCUUACCAAGGCUUUGACGGGUAGCCGGCCUGAGAGGGUGACCGGCCACAUUGGGACUGAGAUACGGCCCAG